UCCAGACUCCUACGGGAGGCAGCAGUGGGGAAUAUUGCACAAUGGGGGAAACCCUGAUGCAGCGACGCCGCGUGAGCGAUGAAGUAUUUCGGUAUGUAAAGCUCUAUCAGCAGGGAAGAAAAUGACGGUACCUGACUAAGAAGCCCCGGCUAACUACGUGCCAGCAGCCGCGGUAAUACGUAGGGGGCAAGCGUUAUCCGGAUUUACUGGGUGUAAAGGGAGCGUAGACGGCGGUGCAAGCCAGAUGUGAAAGCCCGGGGCUCAACCCCGGGACUGCAUUUGGAACUGCGUGGCUGGAGUGCAGGAGGGGCAGGCGGAAUUCCUGGUGUAGCGGUGAAAUGCGUAGAUAUCAGGAGGAACACCGGUGGCGAGGGCGGCCUGCUGGACUGCAACUGACGUUGAGGCCCGAAAGCGUGGGGAGCAAACAGGAUUAGAUACCCCAGUA
rnacentral:rRNA from 1 species